UCAGAUUUACUUUAUUUCCAGGGCGGAAAGAAACCGCAGCAAAAGUGCAAAACCCUAACCAAGCAAAGCCCUUAGAGCAAAAACCCUGAAACAUGCUAAGUUGUAGGAGAAGCUUACUGUCUCAAACCAUAAAAAGAAAAACUAAGAACAAACCCAAAAACAAAACUAAAGUGAAAACUCACAAAAAGGUUUCUAGAACACGAGAUUACAUUCCCAAAAACAUGCAUCUCGAAGAUAAUGAAGAAGAAGUAGGAUUCAACCUCAAAUCCUCAGCUCCUUCUCGUUCUCAUGGGGUUCAACCGUUGGGAAACCUUUACUUCAACCCAGGCGCUAUCAACUCAAGAAACAUCGGCUUAGGUACUCUCCAAAUCCUGUCUGACGAGCUUGUUCUUGAGAUUUUAGGCCUUUUGGAAGGUACCCAGUUAGGUGUUUUAGCUACUGUUAGCAAAUCAUUUUAUGUUUUCACUAGCCAUGAACCCCUUUGGAGGAAUCUUGUAUUGGAUAACCUGAAAGGACGAUUUUUUUAUAAUCGGUCAUGGAAAGUUACUUACAUAUCUACAUUUCAUCCUUCAUUUGAUGUUUCAAGGAGUGCCCGUUCUUCGGGUUUGAGAGUAAGGGAUUUUUAUUCUGACUAUUUGUUUCAGAGUUGGCUGUGCGCUAAUCUUGAAAUGAAACCUGAAUGGCUUGAAAGAGAUAAUAUAAUUCGAAAAAGAGGGAUUAGUGUUGAUGAUUUUCUGACAAACUUCGAAGAACCUAAUAAGCCGGUUUUGUUGGAAGGGUGCAUGGAUAAUUGGGAUGCAUUGGGAAAGUGGGAUAGAGAUUAUUUGGUUAAUUUAUGUGGCGAUGCUCUGUUUGCAGUUGGACCAGUUAAGAUGAGGCUAGAUGAUUAUUUUAGCUAUGCAGAUCAAGUAAAAGAAGAGAGGCCAUUGUACUUAUUUGAUCCGAAAUUUGCAGAAAAAAUUCCAACUUUAGGCUCAGAGUACGAUGUUCCAGUUUACUUCAGAGAGGAUUUGUUUAGUGUUUUGGGUAAUCGGAGGCCAGAUUAUAGGUGGAUUAUAAUUGGACCAGCUGGGUCUGGAUCAUCCUUCCAUAUUGAUCCUAAUUCAACAUCUGCCUGGAAUGCGGUGAUUAGAGGAUCUAAGAAAUGGAUUUUAUUCCCGCCUGAUGUGGUUCCACCUGGGGUGCACCCGAGCCCAGAUGGAGCGGAAGUGGCAUGUCCUGUUUCUAUAAUUGAGUGGUUCAUGAAUUUUUAUGAUGCAACAAAGGAUUGGAAAAAGAGACCUAUUGAGUGUAUUUGUAAGGCUGGAGAAGUGAUCUUUGUGCCAAAUGGAUGGUGGCAUCUAGUGAUUAACCUAGAAGAAUCUGUUGCCAUUACACAGAACUAUGUUAGCAGUAGGAUUAAAUGCCCUAACUGAAGAAAUACUUGUAGAAUCUAGAAAGAAUCUUGUUCUUAACUUUUGGCUAUUCCCUCAACAUCCAAAAUAGCAUGUCGAAUUGGUUAUAAACUCUGUCACAUGGAUUCUGCACUUUAGGGUGUGAUACCUGUGUUGACACCACUGGGUGCUCAUCCAAAUUAUGUGAUCUUCACACGAUAAAAACACAGCUAAGGAAGAGGGGGUUGCAUUGAGGAAGAUUGCCAGGCUAAUCUUGUUGUGCAUUGUUGUUGAUUCUGAGCUAGUCUUCUUAGCUUUCGCAACAUGAAAUCUGUCUUUGGAGAGAGAUUAAUCGGAAUGCUUGCAACAGAAGUGGAGAAGAGGAGAAAUUUAUUGAAUGUUCUCGAUUUUCUUAAGAAGCCGAAUGCUAGCAAGCUUGUUUCUGGGACAACAGACAGAAUAAACUUGUAUGAAAAUUUUAAGAAUGCUAUAGAGGCUUCUUUCCCUGGAACAAUUGAUGGACUGAGACUGAA